AUUGAACGCUAGCGGGAUGCCUUACACAUGCAAGUCGAACGGCAGCACGGACUUCGGUCUGGUGGCGAGUGGCGAACGGGUGAGUAAUGUAUCGGAACGUGCCCAGUAGCGGGGGAUAACUACUCGAAAGAGUAGCUAAUACCGCAUACGCCCUACGGGGGAAAGGGGGGGAUCGCAAGACCUCUCACUAUUGGAGCGGCCGAUAUCGGAUUAGCUAGUUGGUGGGGUAAAGGCCCACCAAGGCGACGAUCCGUAGCUGGUUUGAGAGGAGGACCGGCCACACUGGGACUGAGACACGGCCCAGACUCCUACGGGAGGCAGCAGUGGGGAAUUUUGGACAAUGGGGGCAACCCUGAUCCAGCCAUCCCGCGUGUGCGAUGAAGGCCUUCGGGUUGUAAAGCACUUUUGGCAGGAAAGAAAUCGCAUGGGUUAAUACCCUGUGUGGAUGACGGUACCUGCAGAAUAAGCACCGGCUAACUACGUGCCAGCCGCCGCAGUAA
rnacentral:rRNA from 1 species